GACGAACGCUGGCGGCGUGCUUAACACAUGCAAGUCGAACGGAAAGGCCCUGCUUUUGUGGGGUGCUCGAGUGGCGAACGGGUGAGUAACACGUGAGUAACCUGCCCUUGACUUUGGGAUAACUUCAGGAAACUGGGGCUAAUACCGGAUAGGAGCUCCUGCUGCAUGGCGGGGGUUGGAAAGUUUCGGCGGUUGGGGAUGGACUCGCGGCUUAUCAGCUUGUUGGUGGGGUAGUGGCUUACCAAGGCUUUGACGGGUAGCCGGCCUGAGAGGGUGACCGGCAACAUGGGACUGGGGGACGGGCCAGGACCCCAAGGGAGGCAAGCGGGGGGAAAUAUUGCAAAAGGGGGGGAGGCCUGAUGCAGAACCGCCGGGUGGGGAAUAACGGCCUUCGGGUUGUAACCCGCUUUGGCCUGUAACGAAGCGUGGGGGAGGGUAAUGGGUAAGAAGCACCGGCUAACUACGUG
rnacentral:rRNA from 1 species